UUGGCACCUUGGGCCCUUCACGGCCCUCCAAUUUAGGAAAUUGAGAGAAGAGGAAGUCUAAUCCUAGUUAGGAAAUCCUAUCCAUCUGUAUUACCCUGGCAUUAGGGGAAUCUGAGACCCACAGAGGUUGAAAAACUAAUCGAGAUUAUACAGCUGAUAAGGGACAGAGCCAGGAUUGGUACCCAACUAUAACUCCAGAUCUAGCACUUGAAGCCACUGACCGGACAUUCUCAAUUGCAGUGGGGAAACUGAGGAAGACACCUGCACCCAAGCCCUUGUCUUAGGGUCUGCUUUUGCAAGAAAUCAAAGGAAGACACCUUGAAGGACGGACAAGAUGUUGACAAAUAGAAGAAGCCUGGUGCAGUGUUCCAGAUCAUUAAUGAAGAUGUUAAAUGAGACCAGAAUGAAACCGUGUUUCCGUGGCAUCCUGCUAGACACCUUCCAACAACUUGACACCCUGCCAUUUGCUGUUUCAUUACCCUUUGUUUACCUUG